CGAUGUCUCGUUGGCUUGAAGAGACCGACUGGAGGGGGCACUGUGAAGGAGCCUGGGUCACAGACCAGCCGCCGCGAGACCCUAAAGGUCGCGCCAGAACCCGCCGCAGAAUCAAAUCUGCCGGUCCGGUGAUGUCAGGAGCUGCCGGUUAUGGUUGGACAACGUCAGACGAGGAGAGUGGAAGAGGCACUAAUCCAAAGCGGCCCCUUCGACGCCAGUGGACUUCGGAAUGGAUAGGACAACUGGGAGGAGGUCUGCCGCCAAUCCGCAUACAGGGAGAACUCCGACCGGUCAGUCGUCAGAGGAGCGAACCGAACUGGGUAGGACAACUGGGGGACCGAAACAGAGGCAACGAUUCCCAUUCCAUUGUGAGUCUUCCCCCGACACGCCAACAGGAGAAGCUUCGGUCGGUCAGUCUUCAAAGGAGUGAAC